UUUUCUUUUCCUCCCAUUCAACAAUCUCAACAAGUUCCAUGAGACACCAUUUGGAAAAAGCGUAAUUUGCCGAAAAAAUGACCAUUGCGUAUUGUGAAUCUUGAAUUGCUUUCAGAAGCGCUUGAGAAAUGUAUUCUCCUCGCUGAAGUGCUUCGUCAUCCCUAAAUACGAGAAUGCCUUUCCGUUUGAAAUCAACAUAUAGAUGAUCCGUAAAAUUCAUGCGAGUAUCUUUGCCAUAGAAACUAAGGAAAACUUCAUAUUUCCAUCGAGGCGAAUAUGAAUUGUCUCUUUUUCUUUUCUUAGUAGCUUCAGAAGUAGAUGAACAGGGUGUUUGAGUGGCCAUGAAUGCAAUGCGAGAGAUUUAGAAGCUUAACUGUGGAGGCUGGGAAUAUUGGUAAUUUGCGAGCUUAGACAAUGAGAAGAACACUGAAGAUAUCAUGAGGUAAUCUAUAUGUAUAUAUAAUAGAAGCUAGCCAUGGAGUU